CCGCCGCUGGGAGCGAUGGCGCGUGGGGCCCUGCGGCGUUCGGCUCGCUGACCGGACCUGAUCUAACGUGACACUCUCAGAAUCGCGCCUGAAAUCCAACCCCAAGACUAUUGUCUGCGACUGUGGGGCUUUGAGAAGAGAAGAUGUCCAGGCUUUGUAAUUCUGCUUCAGGAGGAAGCGGCCCCUGCCUCCGUGCUCAGGAUUGGUAUGCUGAUUUUUCAUUAUCGUGGAAGAUUUGGGAAGGGCCACCAUACUUUGUCUCUCUCUUCUCAUCUGCUCCUCUCCUCUUUGCCACUCAUACUCACACUCAAGAAAGUCACUUACUAUUUCCCAGAUACAUCUUCCUCCCUGGCUCUGCACAGACUGAUCUGUUUCUGCGUGAUUGAGGAUGCCCCGAAUCUGUGGACUACACUUUGGGAACCACUUCUCCACACCAUCUGGCCCCCAACACCACCGUGAACUCAUCUGGACCAUAUGCCUCCUUGCUGGUUGAACUUUAGCCUCACAGACAGCCCCAUCCCUGGUGCCUCAGCUGAGUCUUCUUUCUUCCCUACAUGGACCUACAGUUCACUACUUUGUCACCUGUGGGUCUGCUUAAAGACAAGACAGAAAAUGCAACCCAUGGUAUAAAUCAGGCGAUGAAGUUAAAGAGACCCUGGAAAAAUCACAUAGCUAUAUUUGCUAAAAUUCUGCCAGCAUUUUGCAGAGCACAUUGAAGAAUGGAAAGCCUCCACAAGAUCUAGGAGUGAUGGGUUCAUGGAUGCUGAUUGCAUUAAGAUGUACUAAUUGACAAAUAAAUACUUAAAUGACAAGAGGCCCUGGGUAUGGACUGAGGAUGAAUGUGCCAUGAAUCAAGGAUUAUGACUAAUCCAUUCUGUGCACCUGAGCUCCCUUCAAUCACAAAACAAAGCAGAAACUUCAGUGGUUAAAGACUGCAACCUCACUAUACACAUUUGCUAGAACCUUCUGAGAUACAUAAAGCAGGGUCUGGAGCUGAUGUACAGACUGGGUGAGUCAACUGCUGGGUCCAUGAGAUCUCUCAGAACCAGUGAGCUCUGAACAAGAAUUAGAUCUCUAGCCAUACAAGUUGGGUCACCAUUCGUUCUCAUGGAGGAUGAACUGGAGCUCUGUGGUUCUUCCUUUGUGGUUCAUUCCAUGUAAAUACUGAGAGAAAAAUAUACGUACCAAGUACAAGUUUAGUAUUUCUCAAAACAUUGUUUUGCCAUUGAUUUCUUAGGGACCCAAAUUAGGAUCUCCUUCACGUUUUUUCUGUUUAAAAAUGCACCAAGCAGACCCUACCUGAUGAUUAUUGCGUUGAUCUUCAGAACCCAGAGGUGGCAAAAGCUGGUCAUUUUUAUUACAAAGGAAGAUAUCCAAAUUUUUUAUAGAAUAUGAAAUAUGUAAAUCAGAAUUCCAUUGAGAAAAGAGAAGCCACUCUAGGCAUUCCAAGUAGAAAGUGCUUUAACAGAGGGCAUUAAAAGCCUACAUAAUCAUUGGAAGGGCUUAAGAAUAAUUGUUAGUGAAGCUUCGAGAAGAAGGUAAUUAACAAGAGAGCUCACCCGGUACCCACAGCAAAUCUUUGGAAGCUAAAUGGUGUCAACACUGCCAACAUCAGCUGUCUAUGAUAUCAAGACAGGUGACUUCUAGGACCUUGCCCAGAAGGUACUAUAACUUCAUAUUGGCCAUAUGCUCAUGUAGCUAUGUGAAACUGCCACCAAUAAUAAUAAAAAUAAUAAUAAUUAAUAAUAAUAAUAAUAAUAAUGGAUUCUCUUUUUUGCUUUCCAAAUUUCACUUGUUGGCCCUGUCUUUGGGAGACUCUAACCUGGAACCACAUAGAGAUAAAGAUUCUAAGAGAUAUAUCCCCAGGUUUCUUUCUGGCAAUGCAAAAAAGACUGCAAAACAUGCAUGUGGUGAUCACCCCACGUUUUUAAUUUUAUCAAAUUAAAACAGAUAAUCCAGCACAAUGAGGAAACCAAAGAAAAGUAAGGAGAAAGCAAGAAGCAUUACAAAACUCUGGUUUGUAAUAUGGUGGUGGAUUGAAUUAUUGCUCACCAAAUAUUCAUCCUCCAAUUUUCUCCAGCUCUAUGGAAGAAGUUUACUUUCCCAUCCCACCCAUGUGGGCUUGGGCCUUUGUCUUGCUUUGACCAAAGGAAUAUAGGCAGAAGUAGGGGUUCCAAGAAGAGGUUUUAAGAAGCAUUGCCUGUUUCUUCCAGGAAUCUUGAGAUUCUGCAUUCAAAAGAGAGCUACUGCUCCUUUAGCCUGGAUGUGCCAGAUUUAAAAAACAAAAACAGAACAAAACAAAACAAAACAAAAACAUGGCACCCAGUCAACAGAGCCACAGACAACCUACAAAUCCCUGACAAAUAUUCACCCUUAAAAGCCAUGAGAUUUCAGAGUUGCUUGGUAUCUCAGCAAAACAUACAGUCUCUGAGCCUGUUAAUUAUCACAUAUUAGCUAUGUGGAUGGUUGCCUUAUAUAGAAGAAUGAGCACAGAUUUUGGAGUUCUGGCUCUAUCAGAUAUUAACUGUUAUAAUUACAGGUACAUUUUCUCUUUCUGAGGCUCCAUUUCCUGAGGUACGUUAAAAUGAA